CAGGAUAGGCAGGGAGAGUAGGGGCCUCCCGCUCCGCAAAUCCCCUUUGGCGGUGCCGAAUGUCCGGUGAAGUUAUUGGCGGGGCAGUAGGGCUUUGGCCUUAAGCGUCGAUGCUUUGCCUUCCCGGACGGUUCAUCGUGCCAAACGGGUCAGGCCGGAAGGAGCAGCCCUACGCAUUAUGCACCGUGCUGGAAAGUACCAAAGCGGAGCAGCGGUCAGAACCACCUUAUUGUUCUUCCAGUGGCCCGCCGGAAAUCCUG
rnacentral:misc_RNA from 1 species